GAUGAACGCUGGCGGCGUGCCUAAUACAUGCAAGUCGGGCGAACGGACGAGAAGCUUGCUUCUCUGAUGUUAGCGGCGGACGGGUGAGUAACACGUGGAUAACCUACCUAUAAGACUGGGAUAACUUCGGGAAACCGUAGCUAAUACCGGAUAAUAUUUUGAACCGCAUGGUUCAAAAGUGAAAGACGGUCUUGCUGUCACUUAUAGAUGGAUCCGCGCUGCAUUAGCUAGUUGGUAAGGAAACGGCUUACCAAGGCAACGAUGCAUAGCCGACCUGAGAGGGUGAUCGGCCACACUGGAACUGAGACACGGUCCAGACUCCUACGGGAGGCAGCAGUAGGGAAUCUUCCGCAAUGGGCGAAAGCCUGACGGAGCAACGCCGCGUGAGUGAUGAAGGUCUUCGGAUCGUAAAACUCUGUUAUUAGGGAAGAACAUAUGUGUAAGUAACUGUGCACAUCUUGACGGUACCUAAUCAGAAAGCCACGGCUAACUACGUG
rnacentral:rRNA from 1 species